AACGCACAUUGCGCCCCUUGGUAUUCCGAGGGGCAUGCCUGUUCGAGCGUCAUUAUAACCACUCAAGCCUAGCUUGGUAUUGGGGUUCGCGUGCUCGCGGCCUUUAAAAUCAGUGGCGGUGCCGUCUGGCUCUAAGCGUAGUAAUUCUCUCGCUAUAGAGUCCCGGCGGUUACCUGCCAGAACCCCCCACUUUUAAGGUUGACCUCGGAUCAGGUAGGGAUACCCGCUGAACUUAA
rnacentral:misc_RNA from 1 species